rnacentral:tRNA from 1 species
GAAAGCAUGGUGUAGUGGUUUGUGUGUUCGACUAUGGCUCUGGAGACCAGGGUUCAAAUCCCAGCUCAGCCA